rnacentral:rRNA from 1 species
AUGAACGCUGGCGGCGUGCCUAAUACAUGCCAGUCGAGCGAACAGAUGAGGGGCUUGCUCCUCUGACGUUAGCGGCGGACGGGUGAGUAACACGUGGAUAACCUACCUAUAAGACUGGGAUAACUUCGGGAAACCGGAGCUAAUACCGGAUAAUAUAUUGAACCGCAUGGUUCAAUAGUGAAAGACGGUUUUGCUGUCACUUAUAGAUGGAUCCGCGCCGCAUUAGCUAGUUGGUAAGGUAACGGCUUACCAAGGCAACGAUGCGUAGCCGACCUGAGAGGGUGAUCGGCCACACUGGAACUGAGACACGGUCCAGACUCCUACGGGAGGCAGCAGUAGGGAAUCUUCCGCAAUGGGCGAAAGCCUGACGGAGCAACGCCGCGUGAGUGAUGAAGGUCUUCGGAUCGUAAAACUCUGUUAUUAGGGAAGAACAAAUGUGUAAGUAACUAUGCACGUCUUGACGGUACCUAAUCAGAAAGCCACGGCUAACUACGUG